GGAUCCUACAGGACAUUCAAUCAUCACGUCUCCUUAGGCCCCUCUCAACUGUGGCAGUUUCUCAGACUUCGUUGUUUUUGCUCUUUCUCUUUCACGUGGGGAGAGUGUGGAACGGCUCAGUUUCUCCAGCAAGGAAUCCUCCUGUCCUGUCUAAAAGGCAACCUGCAUCCUAGGAGCAAAGAGAGGGAAAAGCACUGAGGAGUACGGCCAUGCCAUAGGCAGAUUUGCAAUUAAUUCUCUCGCUUGCAGCCCUAUGACUAAUUCUGGGCCAGGCCGUGCAUAUUGUCUCCAAAUCCUGAGGCUCUUGCCUCCCAUUCUCCAAAGAAUAAUCAGCCUCCUGCCUGGGGGGGUGAUUACACAGCUGCUAGGGUUCUAUGCCUGAGCCGUAAGUGAGGUACACAGACUGUUUCCCAUGUUAACAUAUUCUUCAGUUUAUUCCCACACUCUCUGCUGUACUGGAUUCCUCAGUUUCGGAGCUUCUCCAGGAGUCUACAGGACUAACUUAUUGUCUCCUUGUUAGUACCAACUUCUUGCUUGUCCUUUAAGAUAUGAUAUCCUCAAUCUGGUUAUAUCAGACACCUUUCCUACAUUCCUUUCCUGUCUUUUGAAAUAUGAUUGAAAUAUUUCAUCAAUUAAUGUCUUCUCUCCUAUUCUCUUUGUACUUGCAAGCUUAAGCCUCUUUUAUCUUUUCAAAUAUUUUAGCAGGCUCUCUGAAAGGAGAGGCUAUAAACUUCUAUGUCUAUUCUUCUAUCUUUAAAUUCA
rnacentral:lncRNA from 10 species